ensembl:lncRNA
UCUCAGCGAGGAGGAGAAGGCUAGCAAAGAGUAGCUAUCUUUUUAGAGUUCUUCAAAACGGGCCUGGAGUAAAGACUGCACUGGUCACCUCAGCCAAUCUCUGGGGAUUGAGGAAGAUUUAGUCCCUUCUUCUUAAAGCGUCAUCAGAGUGCCCCCCAACAAGACAUAUUUUCCAGCCUAUCUCCCUCUUCAAGUUACUUAACUCAUCCGCCCCUUUUCUGAGCUUCAGUUGAACGGAAGACAUUUUGUUUGUGAUCAUUAUGAUUUUUAAAGACACUUUUUAGAUUAGGCAGAUUAGAACCGACCCUUCAGACCUAUCCCUUGUAAUCCCAACAAAAAUGCUACUGUUUAAAUUGUCAUUACACCACUCAUGGUUUACUUUAAGAGUUCAGUGAAACCUGUCAAGGAAACAGAACAGAUUAUAUUCCUUAUAAUAUGUUUUGUAACUACAAAGCUAGUUAGGACCCUUAACCCUCCCUAAAAACAAAAGAAUGCCUUUAAUUGCUUAUUCAUCUUGAACAGCCCAUGCAAAUGCCCCAGUCUACCCUUUUUGGCUGUUGGUCUGAAUGAUCUUAAUCUGUACAGGUGUUUUCUGUCUUGGUUUCUCAAUUGCCUCACAUCCUAUCCAAAUCGAACGGAGUACUGUUCAUGUUCUUAACAGAAAAUGGCUGUUUUGGUGUUUAGUGUUGGAAAUGUUUAUCGUUUUAAGGAAAGGGAUAGGCACUUGAGUUUGUUACAUACAGUGUUCCAAAAUGGCCACCUGACAGUGUUGCCCUUUAAGACCGGCAGAUGGGGAGCCCUCUUCUUUCUCCAAGCUUCCUCCAAAUAUCAUGAAUCCUGGGACCAAGUCAAAUGUAGAACUUUUCUCUGCUUUUUUUCUACCUGCUAUUUUUUGUUUUUGUUUUGUUUUUUUUGUCAUCAUUGUCACUGUUUUUUUCUGUUCAUUUUCUGUACUGGUGCUGACAUGUAUGUGAUCAAAAAAGAUAUAUAAAAGAAAAUUGAUAUUUGUAAAUAUGUUUUUACAAGUUUAAAUACAACAGAUAAUACUGUCUCUACUCUCUGUAAAGAAUUUACUGUUUGUUUAAAAAUAGAGAAGUAUUUUAAUUUCAUUUUUCCACUCAUCUGAGCUAUGCCAUUGCACUUCAGACAAUGUCUUACUACUAAUUUCUAUUGUAGACCUCCUCUAAUUUUUAUUUUGAGCAUUUUUCUAGUUUGAGAGUUUUGCUCUGUACCUGAAGCAGUGCUUUUUUUUCUUUUUAUCCUGUACAGAUUAUAAAAUGUUAAUGCAAGACAGAUGAGAAGAAAAAAAUCCUUUUUGAUUUCAGAAAAAAAAUUAAAAUAAAGAGAGAAUGUUCUCA